rnacentral:lncRNA from 1 species
GCUGCAAAAAGCGCGCAAGGAAGAAGAUUCUUUUUUUUUGAGAAAAUUAUAGAGAGAAGGCCAAACAAGGUAAGUUCAGAUACAAGCAAAUGUAUUUUAUUUCAUUUUAUUUAUUUAUUAUGAGUGGGGACUACAUUUGAGACUUUUGAGCUCGUAAAUAUUGGGGUGAAAAUCAAUACUCAGAAUGGUGUCGGGUUAUUUGGUAUGUAUAAUGUAUAACCUAUUACAUUUCAAAAGUAACCUUCCCAACAACGUGCAUAAUGUGUAUAAUAAUUUCUCUCAAACAGAAAGUCAUAGUGUGGCCAGUGUUCACACUCUGUGCAAACUUCCUUUUUUUUCUUCAAGUCACACUGAAAGAGGAAACACCCAACCAUUUCACACCGAUGUUCAGAUCUAAUACAUUUUGACAAAGAACACCUAAGCCUUACAAACUCUUCUGGGUCCCUCUCACAAUGAAGAUGCCGGGCCUGAUUGAUCUCACUCUCAUAUUGUUCCUGGCCUCUAGCUCAAAAGGUACAAACUGGAGUAUUGAUGUCCCCAGAAGCAUUACUGCAGGAUCGGGUUCAAACGUGACCAUAAGAUGUAACUUUACCUAUCCGAACAAAAGCGGCACUGAAUAUGUUCAAGUUUACUGGAAAAAGCCUGAGAGCAGUCCUAUGAAAACUGAUGACAACGAACUUAAUGCAUUUGUUUUUCACCCAAAUGACAUAUUUGUGCUUGAGAAGUACAGAGGACGGACCAAGCUCACUGGAAAUAUAUCCAACGGAGACUGCUCCCUCAAGAUCUUUAACUUCAUGGAUAAUGAACCAAUGAUCUAUGUGAGGGUUGUCAAAAACAGGGACAAAUACAGUUUCAGAAAUAAUUUUGUCUCCAUUUCUUUGUCUGGUCCAGGUGUUAAAACAGUCACUUUUAAUCCAGACAUGACACAACAAUCGAUCACCUUUGAAGCAAUAACAAUGGGUACGACCCAGAAGACUUCAAAACUAAUUUAUACGGCCAUCUUUGUAUCAGUUGCUGCACUUCUAAUCAUCAUCUUUGUUGCUGGAAUCGUCUUUUGUAUCAAAUGCAAAAGAAAAGCAUCUUGCAACAAACAAGAGAACCAGGAACUUCCUGAGCUGAAGGCCACUGAUGACCCCGUCUACCUCAACAUUGAGGCCCCUCCAGAUCAGAUGGAUCAAAGUAUGGACUACACAGACAAUAUAUAUGCAAAUGUGGAUUAUUCAAAAGCUACAUCUCACAAAUCUAUUUAGAGUUGAACUUCAUGAUAAACGCUAUUUCUCCAUCCAUCCAUCGUCUACCGCUUAUCCAGGGUCGGGUCGCGGGGGCAGCAGCUCCAGUAAGGAACCCCAAACGCUAUUUCUGCAUUAUGAAUUGUUUUGUGCACUUGUUCAUGUCUAUGUUCUUAUCACGAGGAAGAGCGGAUUCACAGCGUUCACUCAGGGAUUUCUUUAUCAGAUAAAGAUUACCUGCCAUUAAAUUAAAAACACAGAACAGUUAUAAUCAGUCUGUAUUUACUCGCUGGUGGUUGCAGAAACUGUGAGGGGUCAGUCAAUUUGUAUCGUUUGUUAUUUGUCUUUGUCCAGGAGCCAAUGUUACACAGAUUUAAGCUAUUUGGAGUUACAUAUAGCACCAACUAUUUAUUUAUUUGUUUGGCCUUUAUAUAUCACACUGAAUAUGUGACCAUUGAUAAUGUACAUAAUGUUAUUGCUCAGAGCCAGGGCUUUAAAUUUGCCUGAACACAUUAUUACUAAUUUUACAAAUGUGCCAAGUGUAACAUGCAGUUGAUGCACAACUUUUAAUUGUAAUAUUUCCCUAACCCUUAACCAAGCAUUCCAAAUACCCUAACCAUGGCUUAUUUGCCUUAACCGUGAUCUUGCCCCAGCAUUACCGUGGGUGACAGAUAUUGUAGAAUUGAACAACAUUGGAAUUCAAAGUUAGUGCCGUUCUGCACCACUGAGUGAUGCAGGAAAUGAUAUAAAACAUUUAUCACAUCAGUUUUUGUAACAUCGCAUGACUAGAGUUAUGUUUUCUGUGUAAUCUGUUCAUGUGAUAUUCUAUGUACAACUUCACUUGACAAAUUUGGGUUUAGUAAAAUGGUACAUUGUGGUUUUUUCAAGUCUUUCUCAAUGUGUUUUUCCAAUUCACUUCCUGUGUGUUCAGUGCUGUCAGCUUGAACUUCUGCUUUCUUUUCGGAUUCAGUAUUUGAAGAUAAAGUUAUUACUUGUAAUGUGACACGCCUCGUCAAUGACUCAAUGACUGUAACAAUACAUAAAGUGUUAAAAGUGGAUGUCAUUGCUGUGUCUACUCUUCUUCUACUGCAUUGCAACUAGUGUAUAAAACUGAACUAAACAGCAGCCAACUAGGUAAAGGCCUGUGGUAAAUGAAGUGGAGGUUAGUGAAGCUGCUCCUGUUUUCUGUUUUAAUUUUGGUGAGCAAUAGUUGCAUUCGGAUGAGAUUUUGCUGAGGAAUGAGCCUUUCUCGACCUUGGUUGUAUCAGUAUCCUGCAUACUUGGCUCUGGCUUAUCAUCAUAGCUGAGAGUCUGUUUUCCUGCCAGAGUUUGUCUCUCAGACUAUUUGUGUAAGUGUAGAGUUAUUUUCCAUGCAUCUCUAUACUCUAAUUUCUCUUAUGUGACGGAUCAAAGUAAACAAAUCCUUAUUUAUAACAAUAUAUUACACGGCGUUCAACUGCUCCACCCAUGUUGUAAUGUUUGCAUCAUUGAAUGUUACCUCCUACAUAGGAAUUUCUGUAUUUUUUUGAGUUGCAACCAAAAUAGCAGUAAUACAUUAAACAUCUAUUAAAAAUACAAAAUAUGCCGUUUCUUCUUUGAGAGAUUCGACCUUAUUUGACCGACUUCAAAAUGUCUGUUGACAGCAUAUGAUGGUCUUUAAAACGCAACAGUCCUUCAGUGACUCAUCUUUUUCAUUUCAUGUUUUUUUUUCAUCUGUAGUGACACAAACUGUAGCGUAUUGCAUUUCUGGAACUUGGUGUUCUGUGGAAUUUAUUUCUGUAUUCAUUUGUUGGUGAAAAAAGAAACAUAAGUCAAAUGUUAAACAGAGGACAAACAACAAGACAAUAAUCACAUAUUGCAACAACACCCAUCUACUGGGCUUCUGAUGUAGCUGUUUAAACACCAACUCACAUUAUGAGCUCAACACUUGCAAUUUUAAAGGGUGAAGCUUGACUAUAAAUAUGAGCUCCAAAGACACUGCACUAAUCUCACAAUUUGAGGAAGAUCCUGAACAGGUGGAGAGGAUUCUGGAUGAAUGGGAAAAAGAUUGUCUCAACCAAUCUCCCCAAAUGGAAACUGCCUGUGGAGUAUGCUGGAUGGUGUCAGGAAGACUGAUGUUGGCCCUUUCCACUUCAGGAUUGAAAUGCCACAAUACAAAAGCUUCUUGUACAAAACAAAUGUAGUGUCCCUGGAUGUCAUAC